GCUGUGAGUUCCCCGUUGCUUCAGCUGGACUCUCAAAGCACUCUGAACUUACAAUACCCAGAUGCUCCAUGACUGGCUGAUUUUAUUUUCAUUUUUCCAAGAAUGGCCAAGUAGAUAUGUGUUAGACUUGGGUUGAUGAAGGAGUCAAAACAAAACGGCCUGCUCCACAGUUAAAAACAGGGAAGUCUCACAAUGAGUUGCCACAACUUUCUGAGCUGGGGAGAAACAAGGCUGAUUUAUUUUGAAGGCUUUCUUGCUCAGAUCUCAUUACAAUGCUAAUGGGGCUGCCCUGACUGCCCUCAGGUAUGUAUAAGAGAGUAAAGUACAGCCCAGGGAAAGGGUUGAGCAAAGCUGUCCUAUAGAGAUCAGGCCUUAUCUAUAUUAUCACCAGAAACAAUGAUAAUCACAACCACCACCCCCAAAACAGGUAUUUUCUACUUUUACUUAUACCAACAACGCAUUUCUACUCAGGUUGUGCAUUUGCCUGGAGACUAUUGCUAAAAUGUUCUCAGCUCAUUUUUUGAUGUUAGUCAUGUUAUUAUCCUGUAAUGUUACAGAUGUGAUCACUCAUUUAAAAAAAAAAAAGUUGAAUUUUAUUUUAAUUUGCCCUUUGUCUUUAUUUUCAAAGUUCCAGCAUUUUAGCAGUCUAGGAAAAUGCUUCAGGCUUUUAUUUAUUUAUUUUUUCAGAUUAAAACAAUGUGUGCCUGUAGCAUUCAUCAUUUAAGAAAAUAGUGUUUUUCUCUUUCAGAUCCCAAUUUCCACUCAUUAUUAGAGAGCUGAAUUCUAAAUCAAAGAUUGUGCAGAAGAGAUGUGCAACCUGAAUAAAACAUUUCCAGAAGAGCCUGAAUAAUGGUCCUGAAUAAAGGGACCUGCAAUGUUCUUGAAUUGUAAUUGGAAAAAAUUCAAGUGUGUGUACUCAGGAGCACAUGUACUAAGAAGAGAUGCUGUGAAUCACGUAAUCGAUUGCAUUUUCAAAAUCUUGGGUCCAAAUCCAUGUUACGCAUCUACUAAGCAUACCGUGUAAUCCUGGCAUCUGUUUUUUGCACAGUAAUCCAUUGCCAACCACAGGUCAUUAGAGAAGAGAUAGUGAAUGCUUGGCUCUUUAAGUAUAAUGUGUUUAGAACACUUUAAGAAUUUCCUAUACAUGGAAAGAUUUGGAAGAGUCCUUCAUUCAU